CAUCUACAAAACAUAACAUUUUAUUUAUGUUAAGGCAAUGAAUUCUGCUGCUUAAUUAAUUCAGUAAAUAUGUUCUGGAAAAUUACAUGGGUCUUACGGCUGGGAGGAUGCUGUUAUUUAGAACAGGGUUAUCAGGACUGAGCCAUCCCUCACCCAAGGCUACAGCAGAGCACUUUCUGGUUUCUGGAAAAAAAUACUACUUCUUGUGUCCCUCAAAAAUACAGUAUUAUUUAAAAAUAAAUCAAAACACAAUGCAAAUUAUCCAUAACAAACCAAAACAAAGUAAAACCAAAACAACCAAACCAAAAAAAACCCAACUAACCCCCAAACCACAGCAAACCUCUGAAUGAAUUGCAGCAUUACAUACUUAAUUAGACAUUACAGUUAUCCCCCAUACAUCUGGUCAAAUAAAGGAUCCCUGCUCUUUCAUGCUA